rnacentral:lncRNA from 1 species
AUUCACCUCCACCACCACCGGUUUACAAGUCACCUCCACCACCUCCUCCAGUUUACAAGUCCCCGCCACCACCUUACCAUUAUUCCUCACCACCACCUCCAGUGCAUUCACCCCCACCACCACCAGUUUACAAGUCUCCGCCACCACCUUACCAUUAUUCCUCACCACCACCUCCAGGGCAUUCACCCCCGCCACCACCAGUUUACAAGUCACCGCCACCACCUCCUCCUGUUUAUAAGUCCCCUCCACUACCUCAUCAUUAUUCCUCACCACCACCUCCAGUGCAUUCACCCCCACCACCACCAAUUUAUAAGUCUCCCCCACCGCCUCCCCCAGUAUAUAAGUCACCACCACCACCUCCUCCAGUAUACAAAUCACCUCCACCACCUCCUCCAGUUUACAAAUCUCCACCACCACCAAUUUAUAAAUACAAGUCUCCUCCACCACCUCCUCCAGUUUACAAUUCCCCACCACCACCAAUCUACAAGUCUCCACCUCCACCCUACCAUUACCACUACAAUUCUCCUCCUCCUCCUCCUCAUCACUACUAAGCAAUUGUAUCCAAGUUUUUGAGGUAAUAAUGCUAAACCAAUAUAUUAACUUUCGCAUGAUAAACUUUAUCUCUAUCAAGACAAACUGCCAUGUGCAUCAUGCCAAAUACGUACACUUAGAUCCAUGAAAAUGACUAGUAGAAGGUUUUCUUAAGAACCAAGGAACAGCAUUAGUAUUCCCUCCGUUUCCAAAACUUGUGUAUUAAAUAGAUUAAUGAAUUGUUUAACAUGCUUAUCUACUUGAAAAUGCACAAUACCCAUAACCCACUGAAAUUUUUGCAGGUAAAGGGGAAGAGAAUCUGUGUUUGAGAGCUUCAUAAAGAUGUUGAAGAAUAAGAAUAAAAGCCCAAUGCGAGGAUGUUUUCAAGUUUUUCUAUGUUUCCACUUUAAUUUGUAAAUUGAAUUUUUCGACUCAAUUAAUUCCCUGUUUGUGGGGUACGUAUUGUUUUACGUACCAUGCCGUACAUGUUUGUAAGGAUUUCUAUCCUAUUGGCAAAAGUCGGUUCCAUACAAUUAAUAAAUUCAUUUCACUUCUAUUGGCUCUACUAUUUAUGCAUGGUACGACAUUUUUUCUCUCUUUCCCUUAUAUUUUGCCUUUAAUAUUAUUGAGUCAAUAUUAAUAAUGGGCCUUUUUCUUAAAAUUAUACUAUUAUACAUAGGUAGUUUGGUCUAACGCUAAAUUCAUGUUUGUCUUUCUUUUAUUCCCUUUACAUCUCAAAGUAUACUAUAGUUUGUGAUCAUUGUGGUGAUGAUAUUACCAGCUGGUACUUAUAGUUUAAGGCAGAGACAUGAUAUUAACAACUAUCUCAUUGAAACAUAAGGAAAAAUCAUGACAAGUGUGAGUCUUGGUUAAUGCACAAUUUGUUAGUGGAAUUUAUAUUUAUAAAACUCAAAAAAAAAUUUUGACAACGCUAUUACUAAUUAAUUAAGGACUUUAUUGCUAUAACUUAUCGCUUACUAGUUUAAACUAUAAAUGAUCUCAAUACUUUUCUCCAUGAUGUCGAUUUCUUUAGACUACGAAAGGGAAAAAUUAGUGACAUAUCCCUUACUGAUUACAACAUCAGCAAAAAUUAGUUAUAAACUUUUCCGGUGGUUUUAAAUCCCUCGGGCACUAAGAUUUUUUGCACAUCGAGUGAAUGAAGGAACAUAGGCAAUUCGUUCAGCAUACCAAGUCCUUGUUUAAGAUGCAAGUACUAAAAUGCAUCCUCUUCAUUAAUUUGGGAAAUUGCCAUAGUUUUUUUUUAAGCAUUUUGAUUUUUUACAUGAUUCAAAAUUUUCUUAUUGGAUACAAUCACUUUGUAUCAAGAACACAUUUUCAAUCAUCUUUUUUAUCUUCUCAAUAAGAAAAUAAAAAUUUAUUCAUGCUUUUCUAACAUAUCCAAUCAUUGAUCUGAAAAAUAAAGAAUUAAAAAAAAAAUACAUUUUCAAUCAUUGCUUACAGGGCAACUUCCCCAUGUGAACCUCUUCAAACAAAGCUAAUAAUAUGAAGGAACAUCUAAAUACACUUUUGCCCUAAAGACUGGUUGCCUUGGGGUCAAAAUUUAACCUUCGGGAGUAUAAUUACCCUGCCAAAUUUAUUAUUUUUUUAUGGGUAUAUAGUUCCAAUUUUUCCUCCUGUUAAGCUUAUAAAUAUAUUAUCACCCAGAAAAUAAAGGAAUCUUGAAUACUAACAUGUCCAUUGACUUGAGUUGUCAUCAAUUCGGCUACUUCGGCCAAUCUAAUUCACACUAGCUAGAGAAAAUGGAGAUAAAGGCACAUAGAAAAUUAUAUGUAAUAUUGAUUGGUAGUAACCACCUUGUAUUGAUCCCACUAUUGUGAAAAAAAAUUAUAAAAAAUUAGCAAAAUUUAAAAGAACAAAUUAAAUUUAUUCGUACAAAUCAGUCAAAGAAGUAGUAUUUUAAAGACCAUGAUGAAAUUAAUACUUUCAAGGUCUCUAUUAGGAAGACUUCCUUUGUUGGUGAAACUACACUAGGCACAGUUAUAUGCCUAAUUUCCUUGCCUUAAGCUGGGUGCAGAUGUUUAUAUUACAAAUAGAUGGUAUCAAAAAAUUGUUGUAAUCACGUCUGUUCUUUUUUUCUUCCUUAAUUUUUUUUCUUUAUUCUCGUGACUUCAAAAAUACGAACUCAAGAAAUUGGCUGCUCAAUCAGUACAUCAUACAGGCUUCGACAUUAAGGUAUAACUUCACAACUAGAGCCAAUAGAAAUCGUCAAAUGAUUUUUUGACAUCCAAUUUAAGCAAUAAAUUUUGUUUUCAUUUCAUAACAUAUAAUAGUACUACUUCAUGGGAGAUUUUAUAGUUUCUUUAGGGUAUCAUACCUACAAUUGAUAUUUGUCAUUGGAUAGUGAAAGAAGUGUUAAUGACUGUAAGAUUAAAUAUUGUUAAAUAUUGAAAAUUUAAACUAUUUAUCUUUAUUGAGAGAUACAACUUAAAGAAUCCUGUUUUUCAUAGAAUUUUCUCUGUUUUUCAUCAUCUGUAGACAUAAACUUUCCACGGUUGAUGUACUAUAAGGAAAUUUUGCCUAUACAAUGUGAUAGCAUUUUUUCAAAAAGAUCGACAAGAUGGAAAAUUGCCCCCUUGAACGGAAAAAAUCAUGAUCUUUCCUCAAACUAGUCUACUUGUCAAUUCUUUAAAAAAGAAUACUCGCUCCUAAGCAUAGCCUGUUCAUCUACACUGUCCCGAAGAAUUCUAUAAAGUUAGGCAAAACUAGACAAGUUGACAGGUAUAAUCAGACCCAAGAUCAGGAACAAGCAGUUGCACAUUUCAAAAUUCGCUGCUGCAACAACUAAUUUGAUGACUUACAACACUAAAUGUAAUUUUCACGUUACAUAAUAGAUUGAUAUCUAUGUUCUUUAAAUUAUCAUAAUAAUACUCUUAAUUAAAUUUAACUGAUAAAAAGUGUGAAACUAGUAAGGAAUAAAUAAUGGUGAUAAUGUACUUAAUAAUUUAACAACAGCACCAUCAGAAUUUGAGCUUUGUAUCUAUAAAUUCCACGAAUAAAUAGCUUCAUCAAAUCAAGAUUUACACUUUUCAUAAUGUUAAGUUUCCUUGACUUUCAAUGAGAUAUUUAUUAGUACCAUGCUUCGGUCUUAAACAAUGAUCACAAACGAUAGCAUCCUUUGAGUUGAAAAGGGAAGUAGUGAAAAAGAGAAGUAUAAAAUACAAUUAGCAUUCCCUCAAAUUGUAGAAAGUUAGGUAGCAUUAUAGACAAGUUGAUAGCCGUAAUUAUACUAAAAAUCAGGCAAAAGCCAGCAAUUUUACAUUUCAAAAUUCACCUAUUCAAUAACUAAUUCGAUGGCUUGCUACAUGGUCAAAAUUCACCACAUAUCCCUUUCCUCAAUCAGGGGCUUCUACAAUUACCAGUUCCAAUUGUAUGGUAUAGUUCCAAUUACCAGUUCCUCAAUCGUUCCGUCAAUUAACUGCACCAUACAAUCUAACCUGCAAUUGUAUGAACCCCAAUCUCGCUUCCUAAUCCACCAUUUUUCUCUAGGUAAUAAUCUCCCUUCUAAUUUCUUCACAAAAUGCACCUUUCAUCACCUCCAAUAGCGUCGACAUGAUCUUUACCCUAGAAGACUAUUCACCGACUCUCAAUUGACGUCAGAAAAUCUAAGAGUAAUUCUACUUUACCCUAAGAUUGAUAUCAACUAGACAAUGACAAUUUAGAAUUAUUACACGCCUGUUCCUAAUAGGAAAAAGAAAUAGAGAAGAAAGUACAGGCCUGGUCUAAUUUCUUUUCAAAGGCAAUACAACAUUACGAAAUCAAGCAUUCAUUCAUACAAAUAUUUCCUAGUCACCGAUUUGCGGAGUAGAAAAGUUUAUACAAAAACUUAAUAUUAUAUUGUUUAAGAGUUAACAAUUUAGAGCUUAAUCCUGAUACUAGCAUAAUUACCUAAUGAAUCGCGAUUGUCAAAUAAAUUUACAGUUUGAGGAAAACCCAUUCUAACGUGUACAAGUCAAAAACGUUUGUGUUGAGGUUUGGUUACGAUACCUUCCUAUUAUUUAAAAUCUCUCACAUAAUCUCCUUGUACUUUGGACUAAACUCGAACGUGAAAGGAAAUCCCAAAACCAUAUUGGGCAUGAAUUCACACAUAAUAGACCCAAAAAAAGGCAGCGGAGACUGGUGGAGAGAUUUGAGGAAUAGACGCAGACGGAAAAGCAACAAAUUUUGGCCGAAAAACGGUCACUUUCAUGGUUAAUUUUUCUACUCUCUAAUUGUACUUACCAAAUGCAACAGUGAAAUUGUAAUAUAAGCUGAAGAUGGAGUUUGAUACGUGAAAAGAAUUUUUUUAUAAAUUUUAUUUUGACCCAUAAUGUUAUCUUUAGAUACAUAAAAUAUUUUAAAAUUUUGAUUUUUGCCCAGUUAACUUUUGGUAAACAAAAAAUGCUCAUGUUUAAAAAACCGGAAAUAAAAUAAAACAAGAAAUGAAAGAAAUAAGAGGGUAGCAUAGACAUUUUGGAUUUUUCCGUUAAUUUGGAUGAUUUCCAUCCACAUUCUAAUUUAAUCCAAAACACAAAGGAAUUAUAUGGAGAUUUUUAAAUAAUGACGGAGUUUCGUGAUUGAAUCCCAAACCACAAGGGGAUUUACUAUGAAUGUUCACGAUUGAUAAAGUUAUCAAAGUACAGUUUCAGGACAACCCAUUCCAACGUGUACAAGAUGUUUAGCCUUUGAAAAGUUAAUUAGAGAAGGUGACGAGAUUUUACUAGGCUUACAUCUUCUAGGCCUCGAGAGUAAAAAAUGAAGGCCUUUGAGGGCUAUAAAAAGGGGGCUAGAUGUUGCCUAGAAGCAUAUCAGCCUCAGACCACAUUUUGUAGCAAUGGGGAGCAAAGCAAAAGCAAUUGGGUCAAGGCUGACUCCUCUUUUUACCACCGUUUUAGUGGUAUUUGUUGCUCUUGGCUUGCCUUCAGAAACUGCAGCUGAUUACGACGACUAUUCACCUCCUCCUCCUCCUUACCAUUAUUCCUCACCACCACCUCUAGUGCAUGCACCUCCACCACCUCCUCCAAUUUACAAGUCCCCGCCACCACCUUACCAUUAUUCCUCACCACCACCUCCAGUGCAUUCACCUCCACCACUUCCUCCAGUUGACAAGUCUCCGCCACCACCUUACCAUUAUUCCUCACCACCACCUCCUGUGCAAGCACCUCCACCACCAAUUUACAAGUCACCUCCACCACCUCCUCCAGUUUACAAGUCUCCACCACCACCUUACCAUUAUUCCUCACCACCACCUCCAGUGCAUUCACCCCCACCACCACCAGUUUUUAAGUCUCCGCCACCACCUUACCAUUAUUCCUCACCACCACCUCCUGUGCAUGCACCUCUACCACCAAUUUACAAGUCACCUCCACCACCUCCUCCUCCAGUUUACAAGUCUCCACCACCACCUUACCAUUAUUCCUCACCACCACCUCCAGUGCAUUCACCCCCACCACCACCAGUUUACAAGUCUCCGCCACCACCUUACCAUUAUUCCUCACCACCACCUCCGACGCAUUCACCUCCACCACCACCGGUUUACAAGUCACCUCCACCACCUCCUCCAGUUUACAAGUCCCCGCCACCACCUUACCAUUAUUCCUCACCACCACCUCCAGUGCAUUCACCCCCACCACCACCAGUUUUUAAGUCUCCGCCACCACCUUACCAUUAUUCCUCACCACCACCUCCUGUGCAUGCACCUCUACCACCAAUUUACAAGUCACCUCCACCACCUCCUCCUCCAGUUUACAAGUCUCCACCACCACCUUACCAUUAUUCCUCAC